rnacentral:misc_RNA from 1 species
AGUNUGUUAAAGAAAAUUGGAAGGGGCGUAUGCAACAACUUCCAUGCUUUCAGACCUCUUCAGUUGUGCGGCAAGGCUUGUAUCGCCUUGAGCGUAUUGUGGGUUUUCUGUGUUGGCUACCUAAUCAAUGGUAUCGGUUGGAUUGAUCAAUGUUUCAUUUCGUCUACCGUCGCAUUCGCGGCGUGAGAUGAACCUUGAUGCGGUCUCUUUGAUCCACCUCGUCGAAGCGCAUGCUUUGGCGUUGUGGCACAUUGAGCAUUGCUUGGUCUCUUGUAUACGGAACAUAUAGUGGGCAUGGAUCUAACGAUUCUCGUUUGCCCUCAUAUUAGCGUAACGCUUCUCUUACACGACUUGCACCACGUUUUAGCUCGUAC